rnacentral:siRNA from 1 species
UAGAUGAAAAGGUGAAGGUAA